rnacentral:lncRNA from 1 species
CAGAGAACUAAUUUACAUUAAGAAAAUAUCACCAGAUUAUCUAAGAAUUGAAAUGGUGUUUAGGCUGUUUAGGGCCUGCAUGUAUUUAUUUGUAGACUAGUUAAUUAAUUAAUGGGAUUAUUUAGUGGAUGGAUGACAGUCUCAUGUACUCAUAGUGAAACUUUGCAUAUAAUUGUAUCAAUUUUUCAUAUUAGUUUGUAAGUUAUGACAGUAAAUCAGAGCAACAAAUAUUUGAAUAUAUGCUAAGUGCAAGUUGUCUGUAUAAAGAAUACAAGGAUAACUUAGAUAUCAUUCCCCUGUGUUGAACUUGCAGUUACCUAAUAGGAGUGAGACAAGUAUGACUAACCCAUCAGCAGCAAAAGAGUAAAGUACUCUGCAAGUUUAUUAUAAAGGUCAAUUUAAGAAGUUAGAAGUUUAGAAUAACCCUUAAUAGGAUGGGAAUUGGUUCUUGAUUGUGUUUCUUGGAGAUGGUGUUUUACGAUUUGUAUAGUAGCAAUACAUGUUUAUUUUUUAUUUUUUUAGUGGUACUGGGGAUUGAACUCAGGGCCUCACACAUGCUAGGCAAGCGCUUUACCACUGAGCUACAUCACCAGCCCCAGCAAGACAU